rnacentral:rRNA from 1 species
ACAAGCGGUGGAACAUGUGGUUUAAUUCGAUGAUACGCGAGGAACCUUACCUGGGCUUAAAUGUGAAGUGCAUUGAUUGGAAACAAUCAUUUCCUUCGGGACCCUUUACAAGGUGCUGCAUGGUUGUCGUCAGCUCGUGCCGUGAGGUGUCGGGUUAAGUCCCAUAACGAGCGCAACCCCUAUUGUUAGUUACCAGCGCGUAAUGGCGGGGACUCUAGCGAAACUGCCGGUGUAAACCGCGAGGAAGGUGGGGAUGACGUCAAAUCAGCACGGCCCUUAUGUCCAGGGCUACACACGUGUUACAAUGGCCGGUACAGCGGGCAGCUAGGCAGCGAUGUCAUGCUAAUCCCGAAAGCCGGUCCCAGUUCAGAUUGGAGUCUGCAACCCGACUCCAUGAAGGUGGAAUCGCUAGUAAUCGCGCAUCAGCCAUGCGCGGUGAUACGUUCCCGGCCUUGUACACACCGCCCUCAAGCCAUGGAAGUCUGGGUGCCUGAAGCCGUACCGCAAGGA